rnacentral:rRNA from 1 species
GACGAACCGUGCGAACGUUAUUCGGAAUCACUGGGCUUAAAGCGCGUGUAGGCGGGCCGGCACGUCGGUCGCUGAAAUCCCCCGGCUCAACCGGGGAAGCGGCGCCGAUACGACCGGCCUGGAGGGGCGUAGGGGGAUCGGGAACUUCCGGUGGAGCGGUGAAAUGCAUUGAGAUCGGAAAGAACACCAACGGCGAAAGCACUCUGCUGGGCCGACACUGACACUGAGAGACGAAAGCUAGGGGAGCAAAUGGG